GUAGGUGGCAAGCGUUGUCCGGAAUUAUUGGGCGUAAAGCGCGCGCAGGGUGGUUCUUUAAGUCUGAUGUGAAAGCCCCCGGGCUCAACCGGGGAGGGUCAUUGGAAACUGGGGAACUUGAGUGCAGGAGAGGAAAGUGGAAUUCCACGUGUAGCGGUGAAAUGCGUAGAUAUGUGGGGGAACACCAGUGGCGAAGGCGACUUUCUGGCCUGUAACUGACACUGAGGCGCGAAAGCGUGGGGAGCAAACAGGAUUAGAUACCCUGGUAGUCCACGCCGUAAACGAUGAGUGCUAAGUGUUGGGGGGUUUCCGCCCCUCAGUGCUGCAGCUAACGCAUUAAGCACUCCGCCUGGGGAGUACGGCCGCAAGACUG
rnacentral:rRNA from 1 species